GCAUGAUUUUCUUAUCAAAGAUUUAUUGCUUUGAGAUGGACCCGCGGCGCAUUAGCUAGUUGGUAAGGUAACGGCUUACCAAGGCAACGAUGCGUAGCCGACCUGAGAGGGUGAUCGGCCACAUUGGAACUGAGACACGGUCCAGACUCCUACGGGAGGCAGCAGUGGGGAAUAUUGCGCAAUGGGGGAAACCCUGACGCAGCAACGCCGCGUGGGUGAUGAAGGUCUUCGGAUUGUAAAGCCCUGUUUUCUAGGACGAUAAUGACGGUACUAGAGGAGGAAGCCACGGCUAACUACGUGCCAGCAGCCGCGGUAAUACGUAGGUGGCGAGCGUUGUCCGGAUUUACUGGGCGUAAAGGGUGCGUAGGCGGAUGUUUAAGUGGGAUGUGAAAUCCCCGGGCUUAACCUGGGGGCUGCAUUCCAAACUGGAUAUCUAGAGUGCAGGAGAGGAAAGCGGAAUUCCUAGUGUAGCGGUGAAAUGCGUAGAGAUUAGGAAGAACACCAGUGGCGAAGGCGGCUUUCUGGACUGUAACUGACGCUGAGGCACGAAAGCGUGGGUAGCAAACAGGAUUAGAUACCCUGGUAGUCCACGCCGUAAACGAUGGAUACUAGGUGUAGGGGGUAUCAACUCCCCCUGUGCCGCAGUUAACACAAUAAGUAUCCCGCCUGGGGAGUACGGUCGCAAGAUUAAAACUCAAAGGAAUUGACGGGGGCCCGCACAAGCAGCGGAGCAUGUGGUUUAAUUCGAAGCAACGCGAAGAACCUUACCUGGACUUGACAUCCCUUGCAUAGCCUAGAGAUAGGUGAAGCCCUUCGGGGCAAGGAGACAGGUGGUGCAUGGUUGUCGUCAGCUCGUGUCGUGAGAUGUUAGGUUAAGUCCUGCAACGAGCGCAACCCUUGUUAUUAGUUGCUACCAUUAAGUUGAGCACUCUAAUGAGACUGCCUGGGUAACCAGGAGGAAGGUGGGGAUGACGUCAAAUCAUCAUGCCCCUUAUGUCCAGGGCUACACACGUGCUACAAUGGUAGGUACAAUAAGA
rnacentral:rRNA from 1 species